GACGAACGCUGGCGGCGUGCUUAACACAUGCAAGUCGAACGGAAAGGCCCCUUUGGGGGUACUCGAGUGGCGAACGGGUGAGUAACACGUGAGUAACCUGCCCUUGACUUCGGGAUAACUUCAGGAAACUGGGGCUAAUACCGGAUAGGAAUCCUUGCUGCAUGGUGGGGGUUGGAAAGCUUCGGCGGUUUUGGAUGGACUCGCGGCUUAUCAGCUUGUUGGUGGGGUAGUGGCUUACCAAGGCUUUGACGGGUAGCCGGCCUGAGAGGGCGACCGGCCACAUUGGGACUGAGAUACGGCCCAGACUCCUACGGGAGGCAGCAGUGGGGAAUAUUGCACAAUGGGCGGAAGCCUGAUGCAGCAACGCCGCGUGCGGGAUGACGGCCUUCGGGUUGUAAACCGCUUUCAGCAGGGGCGAAGCUUGUGGUGACGGUACCUGCAGAAGAAGCACCAGCUAACUACGUG
rnacentral:rRNA from 1 species